AUCCUGUUUGGAUCACCUUUUAGAGAUUCAUAGAACAGAUUCAUUGUUAGGACUUGUUGUUACAAUCCCCAAAGUUUCAGCACAUAUUUCUUGACAGAGCCCUUUCUUCAUCAUGACCACAGUCUAAAGCCAACCUUCGACACAGUUACUUACUUUUUUGUUUUUCACUUUUGCUCUAAGAGUGGUAAGAUUUGUGGGGACACAAUGCAGAGGGCCUUCCUCGAAUGGGCCUAUGCCAAAUUUGAGGUUGACAAGCUGUCUCAGGUCCAGCAUUUUCAGUGCCCUGCAUGCACACCAUCCAUGUUGGCAGUUGCAGUGGAUGGGAACCGCAAAUUAUAUCGUUUCAAAAGCCAACCAGGACCUGAUGGGUUUUUUGAUGGAGUCUUUUUGGCCAAUGAUGCUGAUGUGUCCUCCUUUGUUGAUUACAUCCAUGAAACAACUGGACAUAAUCCAGGGAAAGGGAGAUGUGGUGCGGGUCAGUGGACCGCAGCACGAG